UUCGGCCUCUAGUGGCGGACGGGUGAGUAACGCGUAGGUAUCUAUCCUGGGGUGGGGGAUAACAGUGGGAAACUGCUGCUAAUACCACAUGACACCUGAGGGUCAAAGGCGCGAGUCGCCUUAGGAGGAGCCUGCGUCCGAUUAGCUAGUUGGUGGGGUAAAGGCCUACCAAGGCGACGAUCGGUAGCUGGUCUGAGAGGAUGAUCAGCCACAUUGGGACUGAGACACGGCCCAAACUCCUACGGGAGGCAGCAGUGGGGAAUAUUGGACAAUGGGCGAAAGCCUGAUCCAGCAAUGCCGCGUGGAUGAAGAAGGUCUUCGGA
rnacentral:rRNA from 1 species